GCAGUGAAAGCCCAGAAUCCUAACCACUAGGCCACCAGGAAACUUCCCCUAUAAAAUGCUUUGAUUUCAUUAUUUUCAUGACAAUUCUGUAAAGUAAUAUUACCUUCUUAUUUUUUCUAAGUGGAAACUAAGAAGCAGUCCUGUGCUGGGUGCUGGGCCCAGAGUAGGGGCAGCGUCCUGGGAGCAGGGGUAGGUCUUGGUGAGAGGAAGACAGACAAGACUGGAGAAAAAGCUACUUGGGGAGAAGCAGAUCAUCCAAGAGAAUGGUCAGUCCAAAAGACUUCAUGGACUGAGAAUGAAAGUCUGUCUCAGGGACUGAAGUCAGCAGAAUUGGGGUCAAAUUGGGACCAGGAAGACUCUGUACCUUUAAUAAGGUGGGCUGCAAAGAAAGCUAUAAAACUGUUUUAAAUUUUAGUUCUAAGAAGGGAUUUUUUUUUUCUUUUUUAUUCUUUUAGCCAAACAAAGAUUAUUUUCAAAAUUGUGCACAAGGGCUUCCCUGGUAGUCCAGGGAUUAAAAAUCCACCUGCCAAUGCAGGGACAUAGAUUCACUCCCUGUCCAGGAAGAUUCCACAUGCUGCGGAGCCACUAAGUUCACUCGACACAACUACUGAGCCCAGGUGCUGCAACUGCUGAAGCCUGCACGCUGGGGCCCAAGCUCCCCCCAAAGAGGAGCCACUCAAUGAGAAGCCCACGCACCACAAUUAGAGAGUAGCUCUUGCUCGCUGCAACCAGAGAAAAGCCUGCACAGCAACAAGGACCCAGCACAGCCAAAAGUAAAUAAAAUACAUAAAAAAUAUUUUUAAAUAGUGGACAAAAUAUGUUGGCUCAGGUUUCAGCUAUCCACAUUCCUCUCUCAUAUGGCAUCUAGUGGGGUCAUUUACACAAGAUACUAGUGUAAAAAUCUGGUCAUAAAAGGCUGUGUUUCAGGGCAGUGGCUUUGGGCAUCAGUCCUAGACUGUCCGCAGUCACUGAGGUCUUUUUAUGAGGCUGCCCUGAGAUGCGUCAGUCCAUUUUCCUAAGUAUGUCAGGCUACAUCCACAUCCCAGUACAGAUUCCUUAGGGAUCCAUAAUACUUGUCCAGUACAAAAAUGUUCAACUGCAGGCGAAUUGAGCAGAGAAAUAACUGGCAAGGCCAUUCCUUCUCCUGCAGGAGUUGAAGAUCAAGGAGAGACCGGAGGACCCCAAACUGCCCAUCCUUUGAGUUGUGAGCUUUUCUGGGCUAUGAGGCCUCAUUCUCCGCCUUUGGAAACCAUCCUGGCAGAACUUCUGUUAAUGUUCUCCCAGCUGCCAGCAGCUGGUGCUCCAACACUUUCAAAAGACGGGUUGGGACCAAAUUAAGGAAAGACUCUCCAGCGGGUAGAGAGGAUAUAGGAGGAAUGUCACCCCUAGAUAAAAAGCCUGCACGUGACAAAACAGGAAUUUCUCUUGCAGUGAGGCAUGUUUAACUAGUUCAUUCUUUCGCCCUGCCCUGUGGUUUACCCUGUCUAAAAGCACCCUUAAAAGGGAACAGAUGAGGUUACAGAGCCUCUCUUUGGCGAUUUUCAUCGCACUUGGUCAGCCGGUUUAUGGAGGAAACCUGUCAAACAAGAAAUGUUACUGGGUGGCAAGAUGUUAAAACAGGCACCAGGGUAGGAGAAAGUAACACCAUCUCCGAACUGAAACAAAGUGCCUGUUCUCUCAAUGCUGGCACUCCUCAGUAGGGGAGCUUCUUGGGUUUGGCACACUGCCUUGGGUCUUAUCAAUACCUGAAUAACUUUGCAACAAGUGUUCAUUUCCAAAAAGAAACCACAGCUUUAUUAGCAAAAGUUGCGUCCCUUCUCACUGAUAAGAAUUUCAGUGUUAUAUUAAAUAUGACUGGCAGAGCACACCGGGGAAUAUAAGAACGGUGACUAGAAAUCCUUUCCUUCUUCAUAAGAGACAAGAGGCUUAAAAUCGAUAUGUUUGGAAGGAAUCGUGUGAAUGGUGUGAAUGAAUUUGAUAUUUAAAAUAGGAAGAAGGAAGGAUGACCUGUUCUUAAAGUCAGAAAGCAAGAUAACCCUGGACACCCUAUAGGGAGGAGGAUCAGGGGAUAUGAAGUGGAAAGAAGUUGAAAGGGGAAGAUGAAAAUACAAACGUAGACUUUUCAGUGAAUUAACCUGAUUGAUUUUCAUCUGUGUGCUAAGAAAUAGAAAUUGUGACCAAACGACUUAUUUGGCUGAUGUGUCAACAGUGACAAUGGUUUCAACUAGAAGUUGGUAGGUUGUCUUCUUUUUUUCUCCUCUGUGUAUGCCCUGUGAGUAUAAUUUGGUUAAAUUAUGUACUAUAACAUUCUAGAAUAUAAUUUUGUUUGGACCUAACCUAAAUUCAGUGUAGUAAGUGGGUUGAAAAUUUUGGAAAUUUUGCUUAACACCUAAAGGCUUGUAUAAAUUUCUGAUAAUUCAGAGUCUUUAUACUCACUUGCAUAUUAAUUUCUUUUCCUUUCACAUUUUUUAUAAAACAAAAUGAAAAAACUGUGCCUCAAAGUUUAAUAAAAUAUGAUUGUCACUACUCUCUUCGUCCUACUAUUACAUUUUUCUUUAACAAUAAAUAAAACUGGGAGAGGCUGAUGCUAUUAAUUCCAUUUAGUCUAUUGUUUCUUCACCUGGUCUGCUUUAGUCAGAAGAAAAUUUAUAUGUAUGUAUAUAUGUAAUAAAAUGUAUAAUAUAUAUAUAUAUAUUUCCCUUUUCAAAGUUUUUGCAACAUUUAAAAACAAAAUAGAUACUACAGUUUACACCUUAAACAGUAACUCCUGGGAUUAAAGGUACAUCAUGUAGCAACUGAACAACUGAAUUACCUUCUUUAAAAAUAUUGCUAAAAUAAAACAAAACAAAAGGAAAUAUUCACGCAUUCAGAUAUAUAUUACCAUUUCCUCUGAUUUAUUUGACUGGAAAAAGAGGCUGUGAUCUGCCAAUGUCCACAGGCUCUUGUGGGCUUAGUUGACAGUGUUUGCCUUCUCCAUAGCUACACUGCACAACUAAAUUAUCAAAUGAGUAAGGCAACUAAGAAUAAAGGGGGAGGGAAAUGACUGCUCCUCAGUGCUUGGCAGCACAAAAACACAGAGGUACCACUUUUAUUUUACAGAGUAGUGGGUCAAAUGAGUGUGCCUACACACUGUCAUGGGAAAUGGCCAAGGGAGUGUUCCCUUUGACUCUCUCCUCUCUGUACCUUCUUUGUAGAUGACCUCAUCCAUCCCAUGGCUUCACUGCCUUAUGGUGAUAAUUCUCAAACCUUUGUGGGGAGAAGACUGCUCACUGACGACCCCAGCGUCUGUCUCGAGUUUGCCUGACAAGGAGGAAACAUACAGUUUUAAGUGCACUCAAGGUGUCCUCAUGCCAUCAGCAUGAGUGGGCCACCUCCCUGAGCAGGUGGCCCCCAAGUUAGACUCUUUUUCUUCUAGUUGCAAGACCGCUCUUAUGCUCACCUUUGGAAAAUACUGCUUUUGAGUAGCAAGGGUGAGCUCAUAAUGACUGCACUGGGUCCUGCCCAAGGAUAUCCUAGGAUCACCAGACAUGACACCACGGCAUCUCCCUCCCGCCAGCCUGUGGUUCUGCCUGCACCGUGGGACACUCAGACGUUUGCCUGAGCCGUUCACUCAAUAAUCUGUAUCUUAAGCCUGGACUUGUCGCCUGAACUGCAGACUUUUAUAUCCUACUGUCUACUUGAAUUCCCUUCCUGAAUGUCCCACAGAUUCCUCAAAUUCAGCUCUUUCUUCCUCCUCUGAUGGACUUCCUUCAGUUAAUGGAAUCAUCACCCUCCCAAAUAUCUAGAGGCAAAACAUCAGAAUUGCUUUCAUUCAAUUCUGUCCCCUCUGUCCACAACCAAAAAAGAAAUUAAAGAAUUGCUGUUUAUACUUAUUGAAAAAAUAUGAAUAUUUGUGGGUUAUUAUGUGGUUAAUGUGGGCUUCCCUGGUGCCUCAGUCCGUAAAGAAUCUGCCUACAAUGUGGGAGACAUUUGAUCCCAAUGUUUGAUCCCUGGGUUGGGAAGAUCUCCUGGAAGAGGGCAUGGCAAACCACUCCAGUAUUCUUGCCUGGAGAAUCC
rnacentral:lncRNA from 1 species